UUGCCAACAGGGAGUAUUACCUGUUGGCAAAUUAAGUAGCAUGUAGCG
rnacentral:sRNA from 12 species